rnacentral:tRNA from 3 species
GCCGAAGUGGCGGAAUUGGCAGACGCGCACGACUCAAAAUCGUGUUCCCGCAAGGAGUGUGGGUUCGAGUCCCACCUUCGGCACCA